AUUUCCUCUGUCCCUAUCUACUAUCUAGCGAAACCACUGCCAAGGGAACGGGCUUGGAAAAAUCAGCGGGGAAAGAAGACCCUGUUGAGCUUGACUCUAGUCUGGCACUGUAAGGAGACAUGAGAGGUGUAGCAUAAGUGGGAGACGGUAUCCAUCCCGUCGCCGGUGAAAUACCACUACUUUCAUCGUUUCUUUACUUACUUGGUUAGGCGGAGGGCGUACGUCGAGGGCAUUAGCCCCGGCGUUACGGUCUUCUCGCGCCAAGCGUUCAAGGGUUGCCGGCGGACAGAGGUGCGGGCUGCUCGUCGGUGAGUCGUGGUCCUGGUUCGCCAGUCCACGGCCCGGCUGUGGCUGCGGCACUCUCUGCCACCGACCGGCAAACACUCCCUAGCGUGAUCCGAUCCGAGGACACUGCCAGGCGGGGAGUUUGACUGGGGCGGUACUUCUGUCAAAGAAUAACGCAGGUGUCCUAAGGCCAGCUCAGUGAGGACAGAAACCUCGCGUAGAGCAAAAGGGCAAAUGCUGG
rnacentral:rRNA from 1 species